rnacentral:rRNA from 2 species
UAGGGAAUCUUCGGCAAUGGACGAAAGUCUGACCGAGCAACGCCGCGUGAGUGAAGAAGGUUUUCGGAUCGUAAAACUCUGUUGUUAGAGAAGAACAAGGACGUUAGUAACUGAACGUCCCCUGACGGUAUCUAACCAGAAAGCCACGGCUAACUACGUGCCAGCAGCCGCGGUAAUACGUAGGUGGCAAGCGUUGUCCGGAAUUAUUGGGCGUAAAGCGAGCGCAGGCGGUUUCUUAAGUCUGAUGUGAAAGCCCCCGGCUCAACCGGGGAGGGUCAUUGGAAACUGGGAGACUUGAGUGCAGAAGAGGAGAGUGGAAUUCCAUGUGUAGCGGUGAAAUGCGUAGAUAUAUGGAGGAACACCAGUGGCGAAGGCGGCUCUCUGGUCUGUAACUGACGCUGAGGCUCGAAAGCGUGGGGAGCAAACAGG